UCGGGAAUAUUGGGCAAUGGGCGCAAGCCUGACCCAGCGACGCCGCGUGAGGGAUGAAGGCCUUCGGGUCGUAAACCUCUGUCGGGAGGGAAGAAUGGCGGUGAGGCGAAUAGUCUCGCUGUCUGACGGUACCUCCAAAGGAAGCGCCGGCUAACUCCGUGCCAGCAGCCGCGGUAAUACGGAGGGCGCAAGCGUUGUUCGGAAUCACUGGGCGUAAAGCGCGUGUAGGCGGCCGGGCAAGUCGGAUGUGAAAUCCCGAGGCUCAACCUCGGAACUGCAUUCGAAACUGCUCGGCUCGAGUCCCGGAGAGGAUGGCGGAAUUCCCGGUGUAGGGGUGAAAUCCGUAGAUAUCGGGAGGAACACCCGUGGCGAAAGCGACCUACUGGACCGAUACUGACGCUGAGACGCGAAAGCGUGGGGAGCAAACAGGAUUAGAUACCCUGGUAGUCCACGCCGUAAACGUUGGGCACUAGGUGUUGCGGGUGUUGACCCCUGCAGUGCCGAAGCAAACGCAUUAAGUGCCCCGCCUGGGGAGUACGGCCGCAAGGCUA
rnacentral:rRNA from 1 species